rnacentral:rRNA from 1 species
UCCGUAGGCGGGCAAUUAAGUCAGAGGUGAAAUCCCACAGCUCAACUGUGGAACUGCCUUUGAUACUGGUUGUCUUGAGUUAUAGUGAAGUAGAUAGAAUAUGUAGUGUAGCGGUGAAAUGCAUAGAUAUUACAUAGAAUACCGAUUGCGAAGGCAGUCUACUAACUGUAUACUGACGCUAAUGGACGAAAGCGUGGGGAGCGAACAGGAUUAGAUACCUGGUAGUCC